ACGUACACUCCUGCGGGAGGCAGCAGUGGGGAAUAUUGCACAAUGGGCGCAAGCCUGAUGCAGCCAUGCCGCGUGUAUGAAGAAGGCCUUCGGGUUGUAAAGUACUUUCAGCGGGGAGGAAGGCGAUAAGGUUAAUAACCUUGUCGAUUGACGUUACCCGCAGAAGAAGCACCGGCUAACUCCGUGCCAGCAGCCGCGGUAAUACGGAGGGUGCAAGCGUUAAUCGGAAUUACUGGGCGUAAAGCGCACGCAGGCGGUCUGUCAAGUCGGAUGUGAAAUCCCCGGGCUCAACCUGGGAACUGCAUUCGAAACUGGCAGGCUAGAGUCUUGUAGAGGGGGGUAGAAUUCCAGGUGUAGCGGUGAAAUGCGUAGAGAUCUGGAGGAAUACCGGUGGCGAAGGCGGCCCCCUGGACAAAGACUGACGCUCAGGUGCGAAAGCGUGGGGAGCAAACAGGAUUAGAAACCCCGGUAGUCCCAU
rnacentral:rRNA from 1 species